GAGUUUGUAUCGUGGCUCAGAAUCAACGCUGGCGGCGUGCCUAACACAUGCAAGUCGAACGAGAAAGGGAUUUCGGUCCUGAGUAUAGUGGCGCACGGGGUGAGUAACACGUGAAUGAUCUACCUCCGAGUGGGGAAUAACCAAGAGAAAUCUUGGCUAAUACCGCAUAACACUUACGAGUCAAAGCAGCAAUGCGCUUGGAGAGGAGUUCGCGGCAGAUUAGUUAGUUGGCGGGGUAAUGGCCCACCAAGACGAUGAUCUGUAUCCGGCCUGAGAGGGCGCACGGACACACUGGAACUGAAACACGGUCCAGACUCCUACGGGAGGCAGCAGUGGGGAAUUUUGCGCAAUGGGGGAAACCCUGACGCAGCAACGCCGCGUGGAGGAUGAAGUAUCUUGGUACCGUAAACUCC
rnacentral:rRNA from 1 species